GUCUCCAUGGUGUAGUGGUUAUCACGUGGGUCUCAUAUCAACCAAAAUAUGACUUGAUGGAUUAUAAACCAUCAGGAAAUCCCAAGGCCGGGAGUUCGAUCCUCCCUGGGGACA